GGGUGUGACGCAGGAAGGUAGCCCAACCCGGGCGAUGGUUGUCCCGGGGCAAGUGCGUAGGCCGAGAGAUAGGCAAAUCCGUCUCUCAUUAAGGCUGAGACACGAUGCGGAUAAAAAGUGGGUGAUCCUAUGCUGCCAAGAAAAGCAUCGACGCGAGGUUCUAGCCGCCCGUACCCCAAACCGACUCAGGUGGUCAGGUAGAGAAUACCAAGGAGAUCGAGAGAAUCGUGGUUAAGGAACUCGGCAAAAUGCCCCCGUAACUUCGGGAGAAGGGGGGCCAUCCACUUAUUAGGACUUGCUCCGAAAGGGUGUGGUGGCCGCAGAGACUAGUGGGUAGCGACUGUUUAUUAAAAACACAGGUCCGUGCCAAGUCGCAAGACGAUGUAUACGGACUGACGCCUGCCCGGUGCUGGAAGGUUAAGAGGACCGGUUAGCCGCAAGGCGAAGCUGAGAAUUUAAGCCCCAGUAAACGGCGGUGGUAACUAUAACCAUCCUAAGGUAGCGAAAUUCCUUGUCGGGUAAGUUCCGACCUGCACGAAUGGCGUAACGACUUCCCAACUGUCUCAACCGCGAACUCGGCGAAAUUGCACUACGAGUAAAGAUGCUCGUUACGCGCAGCAGGACGGAAAGACCCCGUGACCUUUACUACAGCUUGGUAUUGGUGUUCGGUGUGGCUUGUGUAGGAUAGGUGGGAGACUGUGAAGCGGUGACGCCAGUUACCGUGGAGUCAUUGUUGAAAUACCACUCUGGUCACUCUGGAUAUCUAACUUCGAACCGUAAUCCGGUUCAGGGACAGUGCCUGGUGGGUAGUUUAACUGGGGCGGUUGCCUCCCAAAAAGUAACGGAGGCGCCCAAAGGUUCCCUCAACCUGGUUGGCAAUCAGGUGGCGAGUGUAAGUGCACAAGGGAGCUUGACUGUGAGACUGACAGGUCGAGCAGGGACGAAAGUCGGGACUAGUGAUCCGGCAGUGGCUUGUGGAAGCGCUGUCGCUCAACGGAUAAAAGGUACCUCGGGGAUAACAGGCUGAUCUUGCCCAAGAGUCCAUAUCGACGGCAUGGUUUGGCACCUCGAUGUCGGCUCGUCGCAUCCUGGGGCUGGAGUAGGUCCCAAGGGUUGGGCUGUUCGCCCAUUAAAGCGGUACGCGAGCUGGGUUUAGAACGUCGUGAGACAGUUCGGUCCCUAUCCGCUGCGCGCGUAGGAAAUUUGAGAGGAUCUGACCCUAGUACGAGAGGACCGGGUUGGACGAACCUCUGGUGUGCCAGUUGUUCUGCCAAGAGCACCGCUGGUUAGCUACGUUCGGGAUGGAUAACCGCUGAAAGCAUCUAAGCGGGAAGCCGGCCUCAAGAUGAGAUUUCCAUGCCUUCGGGCGAGAGGCUCCCAGCCAGACUACUGGGUUGAUAGGCCGGAUGUGGAAGCGCGGUAACGCGUGAAGCUGACCGGUACUAAUAAGCCGAUGACUUGACA
rnacentral:rRNA from 1 species